UAGUCAAUCCUGAUCCGAGCCAUCGCCGCGUGAGGGAAGACGGUUCGGAUCCGUUAAAGCUCUGGUGUAGGUCAAGAACGGGUGGUGAGAGGUGGAAAGUCACACUGUGACGGUAGCUUACCAGAAAAGGGACGGCUAAACUACGUGCCAGCAGCCCGCGGUAAUACGUAGGUCCCGAGCGUUGUCCGGGAUUUAUUGGGCGUAAAGCGAGCGCAGGCGGUUUGAUAAGUCUGAAGUUAAAGGCUGUGGCUCAACCAUAGUUCGCUUUGGAAACUGUCAAACUUGAGUGCAGAAGGGGAGAGUGGAAUUCCAUGUGUAGCGGUGAAAUGCGUAGAUAUAUGGAGGAACACCGGUGGCGAAAGCGGCUCUCUGGUCUGUAACUGACGCUGAGGCUCGAAAGCGUGGGGAGCGAACAGGAUUAGAUACCCUGGUAGUCCACGCCGUAAACGAUGAGUGCUAGGUGUUGGAUCCUUUCCGGGAUUCAGUGCCGCAGCUAACGCAUUAAGCACUCCGCCUGGGGAGUACGACCGCAAGGUUGAAACUCAAAGGAAUUGACGGGGGCCCGCACAAGCGGUGGAGCAUGUGGUUUAAUUCGAAGCAACGCGAAGAACCUUACCAGGUCUUGACAUCCCGAUGCUAUUUCUAGAGAUAGAAAGUUACUUCGGUACAUCGGUGACAGGUGGUGCAUGGUUGUCGUCAGCUCGUGUCGUGAGAUGUUGGGUUAAGUCCCGCAACGAGCGCAACCCCUAUUGUUAGUUGCCAUCAUUCAGUUGGGCACUCUAGCGAGACUGCCGGUAAUAAACCGGAGGAAGGUGGGGAUGACGUCAAAUCAUCAUGCCCCUUAUGACCUGGGCUACACACGUGCUACAAUGGUUGGUACAACGAGUUGCGAGUCGGUGACGGCGAGCUAAUCUCUUAAAGCCAAUCUCAGUUCGGAUUGUAGGCUGCAACUCGCCUACAUGAAGUCGGAAUCGCUAGUAAUCGCGGAUCAGCACGCCGCGGUGAAUACGUUCCCGGGCCUUGUACACACCGCCCGUCACACCACGAGAGUUUGUAACACCCGAAGUCGGUGAGGUAACCUUUUGGAGCCAGCCGCCUAAGGUGGGACAGAUGAUUGGGGUGAAGUCCGAAGCCUGUUGC
rnacentral:rRNA from 1 species